AUUGAACGCUGGCGGCAGGCUUAACACAUGCAAGUCGAACGAGUGGCGGACGGGAGAGUAAUGUAUGGGGACUGCCCGAUAGAGGGGGAUAACUACUGGAAACGGUAGCUAAUACCGCAUACUAUCGGAUAACCCAUAUGGGAUUAGCUAGUUGGUGGGGUAAUGGCUAACCAAGGCGACGAUCCCUAGCUGGACUGAGAGGAUGUUCAGCCACACUGGAACGGAGACACGGCCCGGACUCCUACGGAGGCAGCAGUGGGGAAUAUUGCACAAUGGGCGCAAGCCUGAUGAAGCCAUGCCGCGUGUAUGAAGAAGGCCCUAGGGUUGUAAAGUACUUUCAGUCGGGAGGCGUUACCGAAAGAAGAAGCACCGGCUAACUCCGUGCCAGCAGCCGCGGUAAUUG
rnacentral:rRNA from 1 species